rnacentral:misc_RNA from 1 species
CAUCAUUUUUACUUAAUGGCUCAUUUUCCUGCUUUGAAAACGAUCAACAAAGAAUGAUAAAGAGUAUAGAUUGGCAUCCAUUAAUCAAAGAUAUCUUCCUUGCAUCUACAAUAUCUAGAUUGAGAUAUGAAGAAAAAAUUCAUAGUUCUCACCUUGCAUGAUGAUGCUACCAGGUUUUAUAUUUGGAGUGCUAAAAAUCAAUUUUGUUAUAAGCUUUUACUGGAAUAUCUUGAUGAUAUCUUUAUUUUCAAAUUUAAUUCUGUUAUGCCUAACUUAAUUGCUGGUGGUAGCAUAACAGGACAAUUAAUAUUAUGGGAUUUACAAAAUGUGAAAAUAGCUUCUAAUGAAAUGGAAAUUAAAGAUGACUGUUUUCAGCCUGUCAUUGCACGUUAUACUGCUGCUUCCAGUAUGGAUUACUGCCACUUACAUGGUUUAACCCACCUUAUGUGGAUACCUAAUCAUAUAGAGAUACUGGCAAAGGGCGAUUGUAAACAAAAUGAGUUUAAUCAUUCAUAUCAGAUUGCUACAUGUGGUUUAGAUGGUGUUUUGAGAUUUUGGGAUUUAAGAGCUGCCAUUGCCCAUAAACCAGGACAGACUGUACCCAAAUAUUUCCACAACCUUGAUGGGAAAUGGGAACCUUUCCAUUCAGUGGAUAUAAUGUCUUCUGAUGGAAAAAGACAAUCUGUAACAUGUUUCACUUUGAGAGAAGUCUCAAAAUUGAAUAAGAAAGGAAUUAAAGAAGUUUCUCAAGAUGAUGAUCCAGGAAAUACAAGCAUGGACACCAGUGCAAAGAAACCUUUGUCUACAGAAUUCAUUUGUGGUUGUGAUGAUGGAAAACUGCUUCGUGGGAAUUUUAAACUGGAAAAAGAUGAAACAGGAAAAUACAUUACAAAACUUCCUGAAUUAUUCUCUUCACCUCAUAGCAGUUCUGUGACUACGCUAGCUGCUUCUCCAUUUGUAGAAGAUGUAUUUCUUAGUGGUGGAUCAAGAACAUUUGCUAUAAGGAAGCAUGGAAUUCUGAAUCCAGUAUUAUUGCGAGAGAUGCAUACUUAUAUUACUUCAGGAGAGUGGUCUCCUACGAAACCUUCAGUUUUUAUUGUGGGAUAUGAUGAUGGCUCUAUUGAAGUGUGGAAUUUAUUGUCUAAUAUCUAUGAACCUUAUCUUGUAUACUUUGUAUCAACUUCUGCAGUAAACAGCAUAUCAUUUCAAACUCUAUCAGCUGGAAUUAACAAUACAGUACAUAAAUGAAGAAUCGGACAGAAUACAAAAGUUCAGUUAUGAAGCAAAAAUGCCCACUGAAAAACCUGAAGAAACUUUUAUACAACAAAUAGAAAAGGCAAAGCCACCAGAAGAUAUUCCAAGAGAAAUCACAGAAGAAGAAUUACUUUUAAAAAACUAUGCAGAAUUCCAAGAGUUAGAAAAGAUCCAGUUGCAAUACUUAGGUUUAAUCGAAGAUGAUAACGAAGAAAAUGAAGAUGA